rnacentral:ncRNA from 2 species
GGUCAUGAGUCCCAGCACCAAGCCCCGGCUUGCUGGGCGGCAACCCUCCUCCGCGGUGGGGUGCCCCGGGUGAAGACUUGGCGUUCGGCACCCGCCGGACGCAAGCGCGGGUC